CAUGGAAGUGCGAGGUAGAAAAAAAGGCUACGUCAUGACGUGGAGGUCACCAAUUUGUGGUUUGCCCACUUGCCUUUCUAUGCUGUUCUUCUCGUCUAGUCUUCUCUCUCCACGCUUCUAUUCUAGAAAAAAAAAAAAAUACAACGAUAUACCGCGCGCUUUCGCAGAAAUGACGUAUUCGAUAGGAGUAUUUUUGUUUUCGUACAUCAUAUAGUAAUUUUUUAGACAAUUUUCCCUCGGUAGUAAAGAUGACGGCAUCGUAAGCUGCCCGAUUGGCCACUAAUCAUCCACAUCAAAUUAUCGCUUUUGUAAUGCGACGUCGCAGUAAACUUUUAUCAGUAAUAAUUUCCGUCGUUAAUCCGGAGUCACCACGACGUCUUCAUCGGCCGUCCACCAUCCUCCAAGCUACUGCCAUCCACCCCCAGGGCACCGAGGGUUGGGCAUCUCGUGGUUGCCGGAUCUCCGGCGGAAGGGGUUAAGGAGGAGGGUUUCGGUGCUUGGGUUUGAUGGCCAGUUAUAUAUUUGAGGUGGGGCUCGCCGUAGAGGAGGUCGUCGGAACUGCUUUGGAGGUCGAGUAGGGUC
rnacentral:lncRNA from 1 species